UGGCUCUCUUUUUUUUGGAGGAGGACAUGUAUAUCGGGAAAACCAUGAACUUGCACUUCACCGAAAACCCAAACAUAGCAACUUUCUUACCACGCCAAGUUGCCAAUUCGAUACCUUUUACAUCUAAAAAGUUGCCAGAGAUCUACAAUGAGUUUUCUGUGAAACCUGGAUCAACGGAAGCUGAGAUAAUGAAGACAACAAUCAGAGAGUGUGAAGAACCUGGGAUUAAAGGAGAGAAGAAAUACUGUGCAACAUCACUCGAGUCAAUGAUUGACUUCAGCACUUCUGUACUUGGAAAAAAUGUUCAGGCAAUCUCCACGGAGGUGGAAAACCAAACCCAGAUGCAGAAGUAUAAAAUUACAACUAGAACAAAGAUGGCAGGUGACAAAUCUGU
rnacentral:lncRNA from 1 species